UUAUAUCGGGGUAUGCAUGUAUAUUUUAAAAUUUUAUUUUUUAAAUAUCACGGUGAAAUAGAAAAUUAAAAUUCUUUUUAAUCUACAUCAUGCAUGCAUAAAACAUAAACUACAAGGAUCUACUUCAUAUGCUGAAAUUGAACAUAUGCUGAAAUUUAAUAUGUGAUCGAAUCAAAUAUCUGUUUUGUAAUUUUUUUCUUCAAAUCUACAUCUGAAAAAAAAGAGGCUUUCUCUUAGCCGCGUAAGUAUCCGAUCUCUAUGGGUAUCCACUCA
rnacentral:lncRNA from 1 species